rnacentral:Y_RNA from 1 species
GGCUGGUCCGAAGGUAGAGUUAUCUCACUUGAUUGUUCACAGUCAGUUACAGAUUGAACUCCUUGUUCUACUACUUUCCCCCUCCUCACUACUGCACUUGACUAUUAA